CUCGGUUCUAGAUCGGUUCUAGACUCGGUUCUAGACUCGGUUCUAGACUCGGUUCUAGAGCGGUUCUAGACUCGGUUUUAGACUCGGUUCUAGACUCGGUUCUAGAUCGGGUUCUAGACAUGUUCCAGGUGUCCCCAGGUGUCCCCAGGUGUCCCCAGGUGUCUCCAGGUGUGUCCCAGGUGUGUCCCAUGUCCCCAGGUGUGUUUUGGGUGUCCCCAGCUGUGUCCCCAGGUGUUUCCCAUGUCCCCAAGGUGUCCCCAGGGUGUCCCCAGGGUGUCCCCAGGUGUCCCCAGGUGUCCCCAGAUGAUGUCCCCAGGUGUCCCCAGGUGUCCCCACGCACCGUGCAGCGGGGACAGAGCCACUCCCCGUUGGGGACCUCGGGCAGGGGCGGGUUGAGGCAGUGGAUGUGGUAGGAGGAGACGCAGGCGUCGCAGCACAGCAGCUCGCCGCCGUCCUUGCACACCCGGCAGUAUUCCAUGUGGUCGUCUUCCUCCUCCUUCUCGCCCUCCUCCUCCUCCUCUUCCUCCUCCUCCUCCUCCUCCUUGGCCUCCCACUGCACGCCUUCCUUCUCCUGCAGAGGGAGAGCGGGGUCACGGCGGAGGUGGGGCACCCCGAAAGUGAUGCUGGGGCAUGGACUGACCCAAAACGGACCCAAAUGGACCCAAAAAUGACCCAAAAGUGAUCCUGGGGCACGAACUGACCCAAAAAUGACCCAAAACUGAACCAAAUGGACCCAAAACUGACCCAAAAGUGAUCCUGGGGCAUGAACUGACCCAAAACUGAACCAAAUGGACCCAAAAAUGAAGCAGAACUGACCCAAAAGUGAUGCUGGGGCAUGGACUGACCCAAAAAUGAACCAAGUGGACCCAAAAGUGACCCAAAUGGACCCAAAAAUGAACCAAAACGGACCCAAAUGGACCCAAAUGGACCCAAAUGGACCCAAAACUGAACCAAAACUGAACCAAAACUGACCCAAAACUGACCCAAAACUGACCCAAAUGGACCCAAAACUGAACCAAAACGGACCCAAAACGGACCCAAAACUGAAACAAAACUGAACCAAAACUGACCCAAAACUGAACCAAAUGGACCCAAAUGGACCCAAAACUGAACCAAAACUGACCCAAAAAUGACCCAAAAGUGAUCCUGGGGCAUGAACUGACCCAAAAAUGAACCAAAUGGACCCAAAACUGAACCAAAACUGACCCAAAUGGACCCAAAACUGACCCAAAAGUGAUCCUGGGGCAUGAACUGACCCAAAACUGAACCAAAUGGACCCAAAAAUGACCCAAAUGGACCCAAAAGUGACCCAAAUAGACCCAAAAGUGACCCAAAAAUGAUCCAAAUGGACCCAAAACUGACCCAAAUGGACCCAAAACUGACCCAAAAGUGAUGCUGGGGCAUGAACUGACC
rnacentral:lncRNA from 1 species